GGGCGCAUAGCUCAGCAGGGAGAGCACUUGCCUUACAAGCAAGGGGUCAUAGGUUCAAGUCCUAUUGCUCCCACCA
rnacentral:tRNA from 1 species